GGGGACCCCUAGCGUUGUUCGGAAUUACUGGGCUUAAAGAGCGUGUAGGCGGGACGGUAAGUACGAUGUGAAAGCCCCGGGCUCAACCCGGGAAUGGCAUGGUAUACUGUCGUCCUUGAGGCAGGUAGGGGUUACUGGAACCUUAGGUGGAGCGGUGAAAUGCGUAGAGAUCUAAGGGAACGCCUGUGGCGAAAGCGGGUAACUGGGCCUGUCCUGACGCUGAGACGCGAAAGCGUAGGUAGCGAACGGGAUUAGAUACCCCGGUAGUCUACGCCGUAAACGAUGCGCACUAGGUUCGAGAGAUACUGACAUCCCCUCGUGCCGCAACAAAAGCGAUAAGUGCGCCGCCUGGGGAGUACGGCCGCAAGGCUA
rnacentral:rRNA from 1 species